AUGUACCACUCGUACACUCCGGUUCCUGCGCGCCGCCCGCAGCCACCUAACGACCGCUCGCUACGUUUGUUAGCC
rnacentral:sRNA from 1 species